rnacentral:rRNA from 1 species
GACGAACGCUGGCGGCGUGCCUAAUACAUGCAAGUAGAGCGCUGAAGGAGGAGCUUGCUUCUCUGGAUGAGUUGCGAACGGGUGAGUAACGCGUAGGUAACCUGCCUGGUAGCGGGGGAUAACUAUUGGAAACGAUAGCUAAUACCGCAUAAUAGUAGAUGUUGCAUGACAUUUGCUUAAAAGGUGCAAUUGCAUCACUACCAGAUGGACCUGCGUUGUAUUAGCUAGUUGGUGAGGUAACGGCUCACCAAGGCGACGAUACAUAGCCGACCUGAGAGGGUGAUCGGCCACACUGGGACUGAGACACGGCCCAGACUCCUACGGGAGGCAGCAGUAGGGAAUCUUCGGCAAUGGACGGAAGUCUGACCGAGCAACGCCGCGUGAGUGAAGAAGGUUUUCGGAUCGUAAAGCUCUGUUGUAAGAGAAGAACGAGUGUGAGAGUGGAAAGUCACACUGUGACGGUAUCUACCAGAAA